CUGAGCCCAAAACGAGGCGACCCGGAAGAACUCUUUGAAAAACAACGCGAUCACCGACUAACCUCCACUGGUGUGUGCCGCAAUGCACAAGCGAUUCAAGAUAUGAAGGGAACGUUAUUUUCCAUGCCUUGCCCAAAACAGACGCUAUGGGGAGGAAAUGGAUAGUACCUAUCUGCAGAGAUGAAAACCCAUUAUUCAAGUAUGACAUUGACCUACUUAGCCGGAAAAAGGUCACAUGUUGAUAGAUAUCCAAAAGCACUGUGUCGGAAGGAGAGUGUUAACAGGCAGGUGAACUGAGAAUAAAGGAAGGAGAGUGUUAACAGGCAUGUGAACUGAGAAUAAAGGAAGAAGAGUGUUAACAGGUAUGUGAACUGAGAAUAAAGGAAGGAGAGUGUUAACAAGCAUGUGAACUGAGAAUAAAGGAAGGAGAGUGUAAACAGGCUGAGAAUAAAGGAAGAAGAGUGUUAACAGGCAUGUGAACUGAGAAUAAAGGAAGAAGAGUGUUAACAGACAGGUGAACUGAGAAUAAAGGAAGGAGAGCGUUAACAGGCUGAGAAUAAAGGAAGAAGAGUGUUAUCAGGCAGAUGAACUGAGAAGAAAGGAAGAAGAGUGUUAACAGGCUGAGAAUAAAGGAAGGAGAGUGUUAACAGGCAGGUGAACUGAGAAUAAAGGAAGAAGAGUGUUAACAGACAGGUGAACUGAGAAUAAAGGAAGGAGAGUGUUAACAGGCUGAGAAUAAAGGAAGGAGAGUGUUAACAGGCAUGUGAACUGAGAAUAAAGGAAGGAGAGGGUUAACAGGUAUGUGAACUGAGAAUAAAGGAAGGAGAGUGUUAACAAGUAUGUGAACUGAGAAUAAAGGAAGGAGAGUGUAAACAGGCUGAGAAUAAAGGAAGAAGAGUGUCAACAGGCAUGUGAACUGAGAAUAAAGGAAGGAGAGGGUUAACAGGCAGGUGAACUGAGAAUAAAGGAAGGAGAGUGUAAACAGGCUGGGAAUAAAGGAAGAAGAGUGUUAACAGGCAUGUGAACUGAGAAUAAAGGAAGAAGAGUGUUAACAGGCAUGUGAACUGAGAAUAAAGGAAGAAGAGUGUUAACAGACAGGUUAACUGAGAAUAAAGGAAGGAGAGUGUUAACAGGCUGAGAAUAAAGGAAGGAGAGUGUUAACAGGCAUAUGAACUGAGAAUAAAGGAAGGAGAGGGUUAACAGGUAUGUGAACUGAGAAUAAAGGAAGGAGAGUGUUAACAAGUAUGUGAACUGAGAAUAAAGGAAGGAGAGUGUAAACAGGCUGAGAAUAAAGGAAGAAGAGUGUUAACAGGCAUGUGAACUGAGAAUAAAGGAAGAAGAGUGUUAACAGGCAGGUGAACUGAGAAUAAAGGAAGAAGAGUGUUAACAGGCAUGUGAACUGAGAAUAAAGGAAGGAGAGGGUUAACAGGCAUGUGAACUGAGAAUAAAGGAAGAAGAGUGUUAACAGGCAUGUGAACUGAGAAUAAAGGAAGAAUAGUGUUAACAGGCAUGUGAACUGAGAAUACAGGAAGAAGAGUGUUAACAGGCAGAUGAACUGAGAAUAAAGGAAGAAGAGUGUUAACAGGCUGAGAAUAAAGGAAGGAGAGUGUUAACAGGCAUGUGAACUGAGAAUAAAGGAAGAAGAGUGUUAACAGACAGGUGAACUGAGAAUAAAGGAAGGAGAGUGUUAACAGGCUGAGAAUAAAGGAAGAAGAGUGUUAUCAGGCAGAUGAACUGAGAAUAUAGGAAGAAGAGUGUUAAUAGGCGGAUGAACUGAGAAUAAAGGAAGAAGAGUGUUAACAGGUGGGUGAACUGAGAAUAAAGGAAGAACAGUGUUAACAGGCAUAUAAAAUGAGAAUAAAGGUAGAAGAGUGUAAACAGGCAGAUGAACUGAGAAUAAAGGAAGGAGAGUGUUAACAGGCAUGUGAACUGAGAAUAAAGGAAGAAGAGUGUUAACAGGCAUGUGAACUGAGAAUAAAGGAAGAAGAGUGUUAACAGGCAGGUGAACUGAGAAUAAAGGAAGAAGAGUGUUAACAGGCAUGUGAACUGAGAAUAAAGGAAGAAGAGUGUUAACAGGCAGGUGAACUGAGAAUAAAGGAAGGAGAGUGUUAACAGGCAUGUGAACUGAGAAUAAAGGAAGAAGAGUGUUAACAGGCAUGUGAACUGAGAAUAAAGGAAGAAGAGUGUUAACAAGCAGGUGAACUGAGAAUAAAGGAAGAAGAGUGUUAACAGGCAUGUGAACUGAGAAUAAAGGAAGGAGAGUGUUAACAGGCAGGUGAACUGAGAAUAAAGGAAGGAGAGUGUAAAGAGGCUGGGAAUAAAGGAAGAAGAGUGUUAACAGGCAGAUGAACUGAGAAUAAAGGAAGGAAAGUGUUAACAGGCAUGUGAACUGAGAAUAAAGGAAGAAGAGUGUUAUCAGGCGGCUGAACUGAGAAUAAAGGAAGAAGAGUGUUAUCAGGCGGCUGAACUGGGAAUCUAGGACGAAG
rnacentral:lncRNA from 1 species